rnacentral:rRNA from 1 species
UAGGGAAUCUUCCGCAAUGGGCGAAAGCCUGACGGAGCAACGCCGCGUGAGUGAUGAAGGUCUUCGGAUCGUAAAACUCUGUUAUUAGGGAAGAACAUAUGUGUAAGUAACUGUGCACAUCUUGACGGUACCUAAUCAGAAAGCCACGGCUAACUACGUGCCAGCAGCCGCGGUAAUACGUAGGUGGCAAGCGUUAUCCGGAAUUAUUGGGCGUAAAGCGCGCGUAGGCGGUUUUUUAAGUCUGAUGUGAAAGCCCACAGCUCAACCGUGGAGGGUCAUUGGAAACUGGAAAACUUGAGUGCAGAAGAGGAAAGUGGAAUUCCAUGUGUAGCGGUGAAAUGCGCAGAGAUAUGGAGGAACACCAGUGGCGAAGGCGACUUUCUGGUCUGUAACUGACGCUGAUGUGCGAAAGCGUGGGGAUCAAACAGGAUUAGAUACCCUGGUAGUCCACGCCGUAAACGAUGAGUGCUAAGUGUUAGGGGGUUUCCGCCCCUUAGUGCUGCAGCUAACGCAUUAAGCACUCCGCCUGGGGAGUACGACCGCAAGGUUG